GAGGCAACUCUGAACCAGCCAUGCCGCGUGCAGGAAGACUGCCCUAUGGGUUGUAAACUGCUUUUAUCUGGGAAUAAACCUUUCUACGUGUAGAGAGCUGAAUGUACCAGAAGAAUAAGGAUCGGCUAACUCCGUGCCAGCAGCCGCGGUAAUACGGAGGAUCCAAGCGUUAUCCGGAUUUAUUGGGUUUAAAGGGUGCGUAGGCGGCCUGUUAAGUCAGAGGUGAAAGACGGUAGCUCAACUAUCGCAGUGCCUUUGAUACUGAUGGGCUUGAAUGAACUAGAGGUAGGCGGAAUGAGACAAGUAGCGGUGAAAUGCAUAGAUAUGUCUCAGAACACCGAUUGCGAAGGCAGCUUACUAUGGUUUUAUUGACGCUGAGGCACGAAAGCGUGGGGAUCAAACAGGAUUAGAUACCCUGGUAGUCCACGCCCUAAACGAUGAAUACUCGCUGUUAGCGAUAUACAGUUAGCGGCUAAGCGAAAGCGUUAAGUAUUCCA
rnacentral:rRNA from 1 species